rnacentral:misc_RNA from 1 species
ACGCUUCGCCACACAGCGCCCUCGCCCCCCAUGAUCGACGUCCCCCCGACAACGACCGCCGCGAUCACAAUGAAGAUGAAGCUGAAGUCGUCGGACGCCUGGGCGGUCGAGGUCCUCGAGGUGACCAACAGGCCGGCCAGCCCGGCCGCAAGCCCGCCGAUCGCGAACGUGGCGCCCUGGACGAGGUCGACACGGACCCCGGCGAGCCGAGCCGCCUCGCGGUUCGUGCCGACAGCGUAGACGUGCCGGCCAAAGCGCGUUCGAUCGAGCACGAACCAGAGCAAGAGCACGACGCCGAUCGCUAUCCAGCUCGACGCCGCGACGCCGAGGACCUUUGUCCUCGCAAUGUCGGCGAACUCCGGGUUCACGGGGCGGAGGAUG